AGGUCCCCUUUCUGCAACAGAGAGCUUUCUUCAUUCACUUAUUAAACUUUCACUCCGACCUCACCCUUUGGGUCCAUACUCCUUAAUUCUCUUGGUCUUGGGUGAUACCUCACAAGGAGAGACUGCUACAUUGUGGUGCAUUGGUGAGACUGUAACAGACUCCUUUCCAAGUGUUUGGUGUCUGAGUUUUCAGAAGGUUUGACAUGCAUUUCUUCAUUUAAUGCUUAGAACAGACCACCACCAAUAAUAACAACUCCACAUCUUAUUUUUCAGAUGGGGAAACUAUGAUUCAGAAUGAUAACAAUUAAUACAAAGCUGAAGCAAGAUUCAAAUCCAAGUCUUCUGACUUGAAAUCCUACUUUCUUGCCACUUUUUAAACUAUUUAUCUGAUGUUGGCAAUUCAUGGCAAUCAGAGGAUGGAUGAAGGGCUCUGGAGGUUUUGGUUACAGUCAGGGAGCAUUAGAAAGAACAAGUGUGCUUAGAUGAGGCGGGAAAGCCCAGGUACAUGAAGGAAAAGAAUAAUUUGCCUAAGUUGCCUAGUUUAAAAUCAUUUUUAAUUGGAAAGGUAUUUUUAUCUUCAUUUACAGAUGUGGAAACUAAGAUUCAGAAUGAUUAUUCAAAAAUCACAUAGCUAGUGGCAACCUCAAGGAUUGAAACCAGGUGUGUCUAUCUCUAAAUAUAGUGAUAAAAAGCAUGCAUUUUGGGUUGAACUCUGCUCUCCACAUAGAUCUUGGUCCAGCCCGCCCCCUAACCCUGGUGUCCUCAUGUGAAAUGAGGCUAAUAAUUGCCAGGCCUCUGAGCCCAAGCCAAGCCAUCACAUCCCCUGUGACUUGCACAUAUACGCCCAGAUGGCCUGAAGUAACUGAAGAAUCACAAAAGAAGUGAAUAUGCCCUGCCCCACCUUAACUGAUGACAUUCCACCACAAAAGAAGUGUAAAUGGCCAGUCCUUGCCUUAAGUGAUGACAUUACCUUGUGAAAGUCCUUUUCCUGGCUCAUCCUGGCUCAAAAAGCACCCCCACUGAGCACCUUGCGACCCCCACUCCUGCCUGCCAGAGAACAACCCCCCUUUGACUGUAAUUUUCCCUUACCUACCCAAAUCCUAUAAAUUGCCCCACCCCUAUCUCCCUUUGCUGACUCUCUUUUCAGACUCAGCCCACCUGCACCCAGGUGAUUAAAAGCUUUAUUGCUCACACAAAGCCUGUUUGGUGGUCUCUUCACACGGACACACAUGAAAUUUGGUGCCGUGACUCGGAUCGGGGGUCCUCCCUUGGGAGAUCAAUCCCCUGUCCUCCUGUUCUUUGCUCCGUGAGAAAGAUCCACCUACGACCUCAGGUCCUCAGACCGACCAGCCCAACGAACAUCUCACCAAUUUUAAAUCAGGACCUACCAGUCUGCCCUGCUCAUACUUGAUCUGGAUGAGACUGAUACCCUGCGAGACGCAACAGAAUCAGCUCCUGGGAUUGUGUUAGCAGAAUGACGGGAGUGUGAGAUCCACCACAUGGCGAGGCACCCCAGGAACCUGUUUUCUUCUUGAAGAGCAACCGAGAACUAUUUCCAAGUUAUCCUUCACUUUGAGCGGCAGCAGAGAAGCCAGAACCGGAAGACACCUUGUAGUCUGAGACCAUGGACACCUCAGCAGUUAAUAUUGUAGACCAGGCAAUGGUCAGGUGGAGUAAAACAUAAGGAAGAACAUCUUUUUGGUUCAAAGCAUGAAAAAAAUUGGGACAGCAUGGAGGUGUCUGAUUUCUGCUUGGGCUGAGGAUUCAGGAGAAGAUGUGUGGAACACAGCCUGGACAUGCCCCAACCUGGUUGAUGAAUUCCACCCCAAGUAGUGGAAGAAACACACCUACAACAUGAGCAGAGAAGAUUUUUCUUCUGUACUUUCCAGGACUUGAAGCUGCUUUGUUUUUUGGUCGCUGGGUGGGGAAGGAGGAACAAUAGUAUAGCUUCCAGAAGAGAGAAGAGAGAUAUCUCUUGAGUGUGAAUUAAGCAGUACCAAGAGGCCUCAAGCUAGCUCUCUCUCCUGCUUUAAAUUCUACUGUUAAGAGUUUUUCUUUAAGUUUAAAACCUUGAAAGCUCCAUGAUGCUCCUGAGUAGAACAAUAAAGCCAUUAGUAGUCAAUGGCCGUCUUUAAUAUUUUUCUUCCAUUUCAAUUUUAGUUCUAAUUUUAUCUGACUCCUAAAAAUAUGUUUCAUAUUCUCAUGAGGGCUGGGCCCAUAUGUGUAAAUGGUUGAAACAUCUUACUUUGUUGACUGAACUAGUCUAAAUAGUCAGUCAAAUUUUUUUUUUAGGCAAAAGUGAAUUUCAUCAAAUUGGUUGGCCCACAAUUUCUUAAAUUCAUCAUUGAUUGAUUAUCUGUGAUGUGCCAAUCCCUGUGCAAGUUCCUAGGGCAACAGAAGUAAAAAUCCAUAAUCUCUGUUUCCAGGACUCUAUCAGUUUGAUAGGGACACAGGCACAUAAGCAGACAAUCAUAAUGCAGUGGUAGUAGGGAUAUGCCACUCUCAUCCAGGCAGUGUAUUGAUGACCAUGUCCUUGAGUUCCCAAGUACAUUGAAAAAGGUGUAAUAAGGAGAUGCUAAAUUAGCAGGUAGUACUUAUAUGAAGUUCUACUGUGUCUACUCCUGUGCCAGGUGUUUCGGUUGGGAAUGAGUAUUGGGUAAGAGGAGAAUAGAAGAUGGAAAGGCAGAAAACACCAACUCAGCUGAUAUGGUUGGGAUGUUUGUCUCCUCUAAACCUCACAUUGAAAUGUAAUCCCCAGUGUUAGAGGUGGGGCCUAGUGAAAGGUAUUGGAUGAGGGGAGUGGAUCCUUCAUGAAUGGCUUAGUGUCAUCCCCUUGGUGAUGAGUGAGUUCUCGUUCUGUUAGUUUACACAAGAUCUGGUUACUUAAAAGGGUGUGGAACCUCCCCCUCCUCUCUCUUACUCCCUCUCACCAUGUGACAUGUUGGCUCCCCUUCCCCCUCAUCAUGACUGUAAGCUUCCUGAAGCCCUUUCCAGAAGCAGAAACCGGCACCAUGCUUCAUGUACAGUCUGCAGAACCGUGAGCCAAUUAAACCUCUUUCCUUCAUAAAGCACACAGCUUCAGAUAUCUCUUUGUAACAAAGCAAAAACUGACUAACACAUCACCCAUUAAAGAGUUUACAAUUUAUUUAGAGGAAAUAAGAUGGAAGUGUAGGGAGUUAUUAGAAAGCAAGACAACCUACAAAUCUGUAAAGUAUAAGCAUCAAACUUUGUGAACAAAGAGUAUGAUGUAGGUAUUGAGAAAAGAAAAAGUGGGAUAUAGGGUGGAACAGUCUCAGAAAAGUCCUCCCAAAGGACACAGGUAAGAGAAAGACAUGGAAGAACUGGUCCAACUUACAUUGGUAGAAUCAGAGGGCUUAGGUCUUUUUUUUUUUUUUUUCUUUUUUUUUUUGAGACAGUUUCACUCUUGCUGCCCAGGCUGGAGUGCAAUGGCACAAUCUUGGCUCACUGCAACCUCUGCCUCCCGGGUUCAAGUGAUUCUCCUGCCUCGCCUCCCAAGUAGCUGGGAUUACAGGCGCCCGCAACUACGCCUGGCUAAUUUUCGUAUUUUUAGUAGAGAUGGGGUUUCACCACGUUGGCCAGGGUGCUCUUGAACUCCUGACAUCAGGUGAUCUGCCCUCCUUGGCCUCCCAAAGUGCUGGGACUACAGGCAUGAGCCACUGUGCCUGGCUGGGCCUAGGUCUUCUAAGCAGUGGAAAUGGCAGAGGCAAGUGUCCAGAGCUGGGAAUAAGGGGAUGUUAUGUGGGUAUCAUAGGGAUGGGGGCAGGGGACUUCACAAUAAGACACCAGCCAGUCUAAAGUUGAGUUUGUGUAGGAUUUUUUACUCAUAUAUUAUUGAGGGCCAUGCAUUGAACUACAUAUUAUGGAUAAAUAAUUAAUACAUUCCUGCCAUCUUGAAGUUUAUAAUCUAGUCCUACAAAGAAACUUAUCAGAGAGGUUUCUCUGAGGCUUAGUGUGUUGCGGUCUAUGCCUUUUCAUUUCAUCCUUCAAAUACUGUCUACUCAAUGAAAUUUACCUGGCCUGUUCAGCCAAAAUAAUUUAUAAAGGCAAUAAUAGCUAACAUUAUUAACACUCUCCUAGACCAGUGUACUGUACUAACUACUUUGCAUGCCUUAUUCAUAAUAAGUUAAGGUCUCUUAUAUUUUUCAGUGUACUAUGCACCAUGUUAUGGUCUUUACAAAGAUUACAUAGUGUAAUCUUUACACUAAACUUUGCAAGGGUGUACUACUAUUAUCCCCAUUGUCUCUAUGAGAAAGCUGAGGCUCUGCAAGGUUAAAUGAUUUCCCCAAGGUUCUCUUAAACUUCGUAGGGGAAGAUGGAGGAUGCUUAGAGAGUGGUAUGAACAACAUUGUGUGCCUCCUGAUGUGAUACAAUGUGCAGCACAUAGCACCGCUUUUGAAGUACUGCAUGCUUGCCAAAAGAAAAAUUGAACAUAAACUUUCAAGUUUAUUGAAAAUGGAGGGUCCAGGAGUAGUGACUCAUGUCUAUAAUCCCAGAACUUUGGGAGGCCAAGCCAGGCUGAUCACUUGGGCCAGGAGUUCAAGAGCAGCCUAGCCAACAUGGUGAAACCCUGUCUCUACUAAAAAUAUAAAAAUUAGCUGGGCAUGGUGGCUCAUGCCUGUAAUCCCAGCUACUUGGGAGGCUGAGACAUGAGAAUCACUUGAGCCUGGGAGGUGGAGGCUGCAGUGAGCUGAGAUCACGCCAUUGCACUCCAGCCUGGGCAACAGAGCAAGACUCUAUCUCAGAAAAGAAAAAAAAAUGAGAAAAGAAAAUGGAGGGAUAAAGGAUUAAGAUAAAUGAUGCCACAAAGAAGUAAACAGAAAAAUUUAGAAUUUUGGAGUGCAGGGACUGCAGGACAACUGACCAAAUUUCUUCAACAUGUCAAAUAUAUGUGUGUUUGUGUGUGUUUAUUCUAUAAAUAUAAUAAAAAUAUUUUUAUAUAAAAGUAUAUUAUAUAUAAAAGAAAAUUUGGAUUGGAUUAAUGUAAUGUUUACAGUUAUGGUAAUGGCUAUGUUAAUGUAAUGUAAUGUUAGGCCUUGUUUAGUUCCUGAUUUGAACGAACUAAUUUUUAAAAAGGCAUUUUUUUAAUAAGUAGGAAAAUUUGAAUAUGGACUGGUUAUUGGAGGGUACAGGGAAAUAUUCUCAAUUUUCUUGGGUGUGAUCAUGGCACUGUAGUUAUGGGAGAAAAUGCUAAUAUUUUUUAGAGAUAUGCACAAAUGUGUUGGGAAGUCACAUCAAAUGUGGGAUUUGCUUAAAAAUAUUUAGCAACAAUAACUACAACAGAAAAGAAUAAGUGAUGCAAACAUGAUGAAUGCUUGCUAAUUGUUAAAGCUGGGUGAUGACUACAUAAAGGAUCAUUGUAUUAGUCUCUCAAUCUUCCUGUGUUUGAAAUUGUUUUAAAUAAAGAUUCAUUUAAAAUGCAUGGCUUAAAAUAGCCAAUGAGGCUGAAAACAGAUUCUCUUGUACCACUGAGCCCAGUUCUAUGCACACAGUAGGUGCUUAAUAGGUGUAUUAUGAAUUACUAGAAUUGGAGCAUGGAAAACAGCUACAGGAUGAAUGAAAAUCACCCUGUUCU
rnacentral:lncRNA from 10 species